GGCAGCGGCCUGCGGGGCGCGCGGGGCACGGGCUCGAGGGAGAAGGACGGGAGGAGCGGCCGUUCCGUUCCGUUCCGUUCCGCUCCGUUCCGUUCCGCGGCCCGCCCGCACUCACCGCAUGCGCCGCCCCCCCCGGGCGUGCUCCCCACAUGCCGCGCGCGGGGGCCGCUCCGCUCCGGGCGCUUCCGUUACCGGCGGCCGGGGAAGGGGCGGGGCGACCGCCGCGCGAGACCGCGCCCCAUUGGCUCGUCAGCGCCGGGCAUGUUUGCUGAACUGUUUUCAGGGGUAAAGAGUUUUUCCCUUCUGUCCAGCCAGAAUUUCUUGUGUUGCAACUUGUGUACAUUGACUCUUUCCUUUCGAUAUAACCCUGUGAGAUGUGUUCCCUGUCUUCCUUCUGAUGCCUUCACUUGCCUAGGAAGGAACGCAGGGACUACUUGCAACCUUGUUCAAUGACUGGAGAUGGCAUUGCUGUCCACCUCAUCUCCUAGUGAAUAACACUGAUGAAGGGAAUGGCUUCUCCAUCUUUGCUCCCUGUGCUGAGCUGUACUAUCUCUGAGGAGAGAAAAGCAUUUGCAGAGAACUUUUGUGCCCAGUUACAUUGGGCAGCAGAAGCAACUGUAGUUUCAGUAGUUUAUUCUGUGUCUGCAGAAUGCAGUGAGCAAGAUUGGGAUGAUCAGAGACAAUGCCACACUGCAAACUGUGGGGUUGUCUGGGAAGUCUGGAGAGGAUAGUAAUCCGUAAGAAGUAAAGGCAAAAUUGCAUUCCCCAUCUCUCUGAAUCUUCAUGAUGUCUCUAUCCACCAGCACUCAAGUGAUGCUUAAGAGUGUACCAGGGUCUGUCUGGAAUAGUGUUAAUUUUCUUUGUAGCAAGCUAUAUGAUGCUGUGUUUUGGAUUUUUGACUAAAGCAGCCCUGAUAAGACACAUAUGUUUUGGCUAUUGCUGAGUAGUGCUUGCGCAGCAUCAUUACUCUUUUCCCCACUCAGCCCUCCUCAGGGGUAGGCAAAAAUUUGGAGGGGACACAAGCAGGACAGCUGACCCAAAUAAUAUUGUAUGCUCUAUAACAUCAUUUACAGUAACAGAAAUUGAGGAGAGAGAGAUUUUGGGGAGGUAGCCAUUGCUCAGAGACUGGGUCUGGACAUCACUCUGCUUUUGCAUCACUUUUUCCUUCACUUACUAAACUAUAUAUAUCUCAACCCAUGAGUUUUCUCGCUUUUGCUCUCCCCAUCCUACUGUGGUUUUGUGAGAGGAGUGAGUGAGAUAUCGUGUGGUGCUUAGCUGUGGGUGAGGGUCAACCUGCUACAAAGUGAGAAAAGAAAACCUCCAGAGUCUCUUCAUGCUUCCACAAAGCUAUAGGACAUUCCCAUACUCAAAUGUGUGCACAUACAUGCAUCCCAGCAUCUGCUCUAAUGCAGUCACUCACCACACCACUGUUUACCCUAGGACAACACAGGUGCUGUGAAUUGCCAAGGAAUGCAUCACAGCCAGAUGAAUCUGAACCACACUUGAGCCAGCACUGUGACAGUGGUUGGAAACUUCCUUCUACAGGAUACAGAGGCAUCUACUGAGUUUGUUUGCUACCUCACGUGACCUGUUGAUUGAGAGAAAUUAGACCUGAGACUGUUGCAGAGAGCACUAAGGCAUGUCCAGACUUUGGCCUGUUCCCCUGGCCUGCUCAUCCAUGUGUGCACCAAGGGUAUUGUCAAGGGAGACCUUAGUAAACCAAGGGUGGCUACAGGGCACUGGAGCCCAGGUGCUGUUCUCCUUGGUCCUGCCAGUGGAAAGGCAAGGCUUGGGCAGGAGGGCCCCAACCUAUGGGUUAACACCUGACUGCACAGCCAGUGUUGCAGGUAGAGCUUUGGCUUUCAUGAGAGUGGACCCCUGCUUUG